rnacentral:rRNA from 1 species
GACGAACGCUGGCGGCGUGCCUAAUACAUGCAAGUAGGACGCAGUUGCGAACGUGUGAGUAACGCGUAGGUAACUACCUAUUAGAGGGGGAUAACUAUUGGAAACGAUAGCUAAUACCGCAUACUAGUAGAUGGACCUGCGUUGUAUUAGCUAGUAGGUAGGGUAAUGGCCUACCUAGGCAACGAUACAUAGCCGACCUUAGAGGGUGAUCGGCCAAACUGGGACGGAGACACGGCCCAAACUCCUACGGGAGGAAGCAGUAGGGAAUUUUCGGCAAUGGGGGAAACACUGACCGACCAACGCCGCGUGAGUGAAGAAGGUUUUCGGAUCGUAAAACUCUGUUGUUAGAGAGGCGGUAUCUAACCAGAAAGACACGGCUAACUACGUGCCAGCAGCCGCGGUAAUUC